CACUAUUUGCUUUAGUGAUAAAAAUGAAAUACUUUAUUGUAGCAAAAAUAUUAGGAAAGACGAAAGACAUAAUCAUGAAAAAAAGCUUCGUAUUAUAUUGCUUUGUAAAUACCAGCAACUAGAAGCAAUACUUAAGCUGUUAGAAAAGUUUCAGUUUCUUAGAGAUGUCGUAAGAUAUCUCAUCAUGCAUCAAAUUAUACAGAAUGUGUAUGUCAAGCGAAUACGAUGAAACGGAGCAAUUUUACAAACUCCGCAUGUGUUAAGUAUUAGCCUUUAAAAAUCACAUGGGACGCUCUUGGGAGCGGCGGGCCUGCCUGCUUGGGUGCGCGGCAUUCGGGAACACCCAUAGUUUACUAUUGUACGCUGAAGAGAUUGUAUAACGAGAGCCAGAUAGGUACCUUGGUGAUAAUUUUUUUGGACGUCUGUACAAUAGAUGUACAUAUCAACGCUAUUAAAAAAGGAAUACGCAUAAGGUAAAAAUUGACUUAUUUUGCGAUGUAUACAUCUCUUUGUUGUGCAUUAUAGCUAACGCCAUACAUUGUUUGAUUAGACAUGGCAUAAUUGUUGCAAAAUGUGUACGUCGCAUAUCUCAUUGAGCAUUCUUCCUUCCGUUCCGCGCUCUGAGAACUAUGUUGUAUACUUGCCAAACGCAACUUAUUCAACGUCGACAAUUAAUGAAUGUUGUACUUCAGUACAUGGAUUCGCACGUUUCAUAGCUGGCAAACGAAAUGUUUAUUCUUCAACAAGGCUAAAUCAGAACCGAUUCGCAUUAUCCAAAAUGUACAAGAUGAGAGAAAGAGUACCACGCUGAGCACUUCAGUAUCCAUUUCGACAAUUUUAACACCCUUUACUCGAUUUUUAUGAACUAAAUAAAACCAUCAUGACCGA